UUGAGCCGUGGUGCCUGGAAAGCGGGCACGCCCGAUUCUGAGGGGGGACCGCCGCAGCAAUGCGGCGGUCCUACCCGAC
rnacentral:autocatalytically_spliced_intron from 1 species